CCUGCCACCGUACCUGUUCUGAUGUCUGUGGCUGGUACAUUCCAGUGGUGAGCUGAGAGGAAGCCCCAGGCAGGAAGCAGUCCUCUCUUGAUGGUGGGGAGGCCUGUGCCGAAAACCUGGGAACAGAU
ensembl:snoRNA